rnacentral:lncRNA from 1 species
UUUUCCUGGUCCUUGUGUAGGGCAUUGUCUCUGCUGGGCCCUGGGACCCAUGUCCUUUGCCUCACUGGAAUGUCACUUCUCUCUCUUCUCGAUCAUUUCUCAUGCCCUGGCAUCCUAAAACUGCCACCAGCUCCAACUUCUGCCUCUUCACCAGCAUGCCCCUGCCUUGAACCCCUUAGUUUCUCCGUCCUCCCCACGCCACGCCCUUGCACUGGCUCUCCCCACUCUGGUCCCUUUUGUCCCAUAGAAACUGAUCUCAUCAAGGACACCAGCAACUUAUUUGUUGCCACGCACAAAAGCUAACUCUUUGUUUUUGGCCUACUCCAACGUCAGCUGUGAGCCACCAAGAUGAUUACUUUCUUUAAAAUUGUUUCCAAUUUGCUUCUGCAGUGUGGGAACUGACGAGGGAGCAUCCUGAUGGCGUGGGGGCUUCGUGAUGAUCCGGGCUUUAUUUUGCUUGUGGCUGUAUCCCCAGGCAGCUAGAAGACUGCCUGCCACACACACAGAAAUCCCAGUAUAUGUUUUGUCUAACAAAUGGAAUCGGCAUUGAGUGUGAUGGGUGGUUGUGACCUUCAGAUUCAUGGGAUUUAUAAUCACGAAGAGGACCUAUAUGGUAUGUCUGUUGACAUAUUCCCAAAAAGGAUUAGCCUCAGGGGAGGGCUCUACCUUAGAAUGGGCAGGGCAUUCUAAUGGUUGGCCCAAACACAAAAAGGACCAAGGAAAAAGCACCAUGCUCUGCCCACCUUCACUUCCGGGUGCACCUGUUUUGCUGCUAUCAGUCUUCAGCUUCUUCAGUCUUCCAUCAGGGACUCAGUUCCCAGGAAGCCCCAGACCCUUCAGUGCCAGGCUACAACUGCAGAACCACCAGGCUUGUAAAGUAGAUGAAUGAGUGAAUGGACCACAGUUAUAUAGACUUGAUUGAUUCUGUGCCUCUGGAAUAUGUGGCCUAAUACAUCAAAAAUCUAGCAAAGAACAGCCCACAGAUCAAAUCUGGCCCCUGUCUGUAGUAUAAAUAAAGCUUUAUUGGCACACAGCUAUGCUCGCUAGUUCAUAGACUGUUUGAGGCCGACUUUGCAGCAGGGUUGAGCAGCACAUCAGAGACGGUAUGAAACACAGAGCUCAAAGAAGCUGCUACCUGGACUUCUACAUAAAGAGUCAGAAAAGCCCUGAUUUAGAAAAUUGCUUUGACUUCGAAUCUCUGCUGGGUAUGUCAGACUCUUCCUGGCCCCAGGAGAGAAACUCAAGUUUCUAGCACCGUUUUCCUGAGCCUGGGAACUGCCCCGAGUGACCUGAUGCUGCGAGAAUCACAGUUGUGACUCUCUCGAGUCCACGUGAACAUGAGUUCCUGUUGGAAGGUCUUCAGCCUCACGACCUUGAAGACCUGAGGAGACCAUGGUUGUACAGCAGCCUCCAACUGCUUUUCUAGAUGUUCCACCUCCAACUGCUUUUCUAGAUGUUCCACGUGGUAACAGUGGUGGUUGCCUUGUAACUCGGCUGAAAAGGUGAGUGGACGGUCCUCCAUAGUGAUUGGCAGCGGAGAACGACGGAGAGAGAAGGCUCUGUGAGGAGAGGAAGAGCAGAGUCAGAGUCAAGGAGCAGCAUGGGUGAUGGUGCGAUUCAUGAAGGUG